GCGGGAGUAGUUCAAUGGUAGAACCUUAGCCUUCCAGCUAAUGACGCGGGUUCGAUUCCCGUCUCCCGCUCCA
rnacentral:tRNA from 1 species